ACGGGGGGUGCAAGCGUUGUUCGGAAUUAUUUCGCGUAAAGCGCGUGUAGGCGGUUUGUUAAGUCUCAAGUGAAAGCCCCGGGCUCAACCUGGGAAGUGCAUUGGAAACUGGCAGACUUGAAUACGGGAGAGGGUAGUGGAAUUCCUGGUGUAGGUGUGAAAUCCGUAGAUAUCAGGAGGAACACCGGUGGCGAAGGCGGCUGACGGGACCGAUAUUGACGCUGAGACGCGAAAGCGUGGUUAGCAAACAG
rnacentral:rRNA from 1 species